rnacentral:tRNA from 1 species
UGUGGCGUAGCUUAAUCGGUAGAGCGCCUGAUUGUUAAUCAGGUCUAUCUCGGUUCGAGUCCGAGCGCCACAGCCA